GCAGCACGGGGCACGGCACGGCACGCCAUGCAGCACGGCACACGAAAUGGCGCAGCACACGGAGCACCAUGCACGGCACAGGGCGAAACACGGCACACGGCACACGGCACGCCAUGCAGCACGGCACGCGGUGCACGGUGCAUGAUGCACGGCACGGCAUGACGCCCGGCACACGCAGCACGGCACACGCAGCACGGCACGGUGCGUGAUGCGCGGCAUGGCAUGAUGCCCGGCACACGCGGUGCCCGGCACACGCAGCACGGCACACGAAAUGGCGCAGCACACGCAGCACGGCACACGGCACACGCAGCACGGCACAGUGCACGGUGCACGUGGCGUGACGCCCCGCUCGCACGCUCGUGUGCAAGCCCUCGUGCGCAGGCACACGCUGCCCGGCUCACGGCAGCCCCCCGCGGCCCGCCGGCACGCAAACCGCGUCACACGCGUGUGCAAACCCGCGUGCAAGGGCACUGCCUGGCUCACGGCAAACCCUGCUGCAGCCCGACAGCAUGUGGCUCUGCUCACACGCGUGUGCAAGCCCUCGUGCAAGGAGGCCCUGGGCACCGCCCGGCUCCUGGUGAAGCCCCCCGCCGCCCCCCUCGCACACGUGCAAACCCUCGUGCAAAGCCUAGUGCAAGGACGCCCUGGGACGCUGCCCCACUCGCACGCGCGUGCAAAUCUCUUGCACCAGGACGCCCCGGGGUGCUGCCCUGCUUGUGCGUGUGCAAACGCUUGUGCAAGGAUGCCCCGGGGUGCUGCCCUGCUUGCACGCGUGCAACCCCUCGCACCAGGACGCCCCGGGAUGCCCCCCGCUUGCACGUGUGUGUGCAAACGCUUGCACCAGGAUGUCCCAGGAUGCCGCCCUGCUCACGUGUGUGUGCAAAUGCUUGUGCAAGGAGGCACUGAGAAGCCGCCCUGCUUAGCAUGUGUGCAACCCCUCGCACCAGGACGCCCCGGGAUGCCGCCCUGCUCACGUGUGUGUGCACACGCUUGCACUAGGAUGCACCAGGACGUGGCCCCACUCACACGUGCACGCAACCCCUUGCACGAGGACGCACCAGGACGCACCAGGACGCACCAGGACGCACCACAAUGCACAAGGACGUGGCCCCGCUUGCACGUGCAUGCAGCCCCUUGCACGAGGAUGCACCAGGACGUGGCCCUGCUCACACGCGCAUGCAGCCCCUCGCACGAGGACGCACCAGGACAUGACCCUGAUUGCGU
rnacentral:lncRNA from 1 species